rnacentral:rRNA from 1 species
GACGAACGCUGGCGGCGCGCUUAACACAUGCAAGUCGAACGGAAAGGCCUGCUUUCCCUUGUGGAUUGCGGGUACUCGAGUGGCGAACGGGUGAGUAACACGUGAGUGAUCUGCCCCCAACUUGGGUAUAAGCCUGGGAAACUGGGUCUAAUUCCCGAUAGGACUGCAGGGUGGUGCCUGUGGUGGAAAACGAUUUUCUAGUGGUUGGGGAUGAGCUCGCGGCCUAUCAGCUUGUUGGUGGGGUAAUGGCCUACCAAGGCGGCGACGGGUAGCCGACCUGGGAGGGUGGACGGCCACAUUGGGACUGAGAUACGGCCCAGACUCCUACGGGAGGCAGCAGUGGGGAAUAUUGCACAAUGGGCGGAAGCCUGAUGCAGCGACGCCGCGUGGGGGAUGACGGCCUUCGGGUUGUAAACUCCUUUCGACCGCGAGGAAGCCACCUGGUUGGAAGGGUGGUGACGGUAGUGGUAGAAGAAGCACCGGCUAACUACGUG